rnacentral:rRNA from 1 species
AGCGUACGCUGGCGGCGUGCCUAACACAUGCAAGUCGAACGUGAAAAGGGAAACCUGAGUAAAGUGGCGUACGGGUGAGUAACGCGUAGGUAAUCUACCCCAGAAUCUGGAAUAACCUGCCGAAAGGCGGGCUAAUACUGGAUAGAGCGAGGGAACUCGUAAGAGAGUUUUUCGGGAAAGGGAGCCCGUAAGGGCCUUCGUUCUGGGAUGAGCCUGCGUCUCAUUAGCUAGUUGGUAAGGUAACGGCUUACCAAGGCGAUGAUGAGUAGCUGGUCUGAGAGGAUGAUCAGACACACUGGAACUGAAACACGGUCCAGACUCCUACGGGAGGCAGCAGUGGGGAAUCUUGCGCAAUGGACGAAAGUCUGACGCAGCCACGCCGCGUGAGUGAAGAAGGCCUUCGGGUUGUAAAGCUCUGUCGGAUGGGACGAACAUCUUCAUAGUGAAUAGCUAUGAGGACUGACGGUACCAUCAAAGGAAGCACCGGCUAACUCCGUG